CCUACUUCAUUCUGUUCUGGACUGGACUGGAAUGGGUCAAUCCCCAUUGCUCCCCAACCACCGCCACCCAACCACGCCGCCGGCACGCGCCCUUCGGCGCCGCCGUAUCUUCUCACCCACCACCGGCACCUCCUCCUCCCCGCCAGCCUCAUCUCCCCACCUCUCCUCGGCGCGCGGCCAGCUCGCCCCGAUCAGAUCGACGGUGGACGCCGUCUCCCUUCUCCCCUGCACCAGGUCGCCGGCUUCCCCCACCACACCUACCACAAGCGCCGCCCCAUUUUCGCAGGCGUAAGAGGAGGCGCCGCGCAGCAGCCAUGGUGGCGUGACUGGCCUGCUCGUCGGCACCGCGUGCGUCGAUUCGACGGCGCGCGCGGCUCCGUCGAUCACGUCGGUCUGCGUCGGGCGCGUGGACGAGGGAGCGCGGCGAACUGCUGCACGCAGCCGCGGGGGUUCCGACGACCAGGAGGUCGAGCUGCUCGUUCCGGAGACGCCGCCGUCCUGGGGCUUGUUGGCGUCGGCUUCAAAGAGGAGAAGAACUGAUGCUGCUGAAGGGCAUAUGAGGUGUGCUGCUGAUGGAAGGGUUUCGCCAUGGCCGGCAAGGGCAGCCUGGAGUGUCUCCAAAAUGAGUAUUACUAUGUGAUCUGCGAGGAGCUGCCGGUGCUGAUUGUGGAUCGCCCGCUUGCCUAGCAACAUGUUGGAGUGGUGUAGUAGGUUGUCCUUAUGUUAUAUACAAAUAAGGGGACUACACUUUGUUUCUUGGCUGCAAUGGUGUGGAAAUGAUAGUGUAGUGACAGGGAACCCAAUGGCAAGUUGGGCUAUUCAUGCAAGCUGUCAAGGGCUGCCUGAUCAUCCUAGCCACGGAUGGCGGUGUUGACUUGUUUGGUUCAGGGGCUAAAUGGAGUUGGCCAGGUGAGGUAGCCAUGGCCGCUUGAUCAUGCCGUCUGGUAGCCUGUGGGUUCAGGAAAUUCUUGAAACCACACAAGCAAAGAUGACGUUUUUCAGAAUUGAUUGGAUGGGUCAAUCAGGUUCACAUUCAGAUGUAGGUUAAACAACCUAGUUUUGCUACUUUUGUAUGUGGCAUGCAAGUCGAGUUUUCUGGUGUAUCAAAGGGCGUUGAUGAACACAAUACUAGUGUCGCUGGAGGUUGGAGUCGAUGGAAGACACUACUAGCGUCCGUCACCACCGACGACUUUCUCUAGCAGGCGGGGAGUGCAAGCCGGACAAAGAAGUGCUCUCCUUGUUUGACUUCCGGAGGCUGGAGUCGAUGAAGCUGGUGCCAUGGAGGAUGUCAGUGUCUCAUGUAAUCUACGGGAUCAUUUUUGCCAGCACCGACUCAGUCCUGAGCCAUGUUCCCAAUUUUUGCCGGCACCAACUCAUUCCUAACAUCUUGGGCUUUUAUAGUUGCCAGCUGGCCCUGUAGUGCCAUAGGGUGGGCAGGCGAGUAUAUGCCGAGCAUCCGUUGCAAAGGAGUGUAUGCUCAGCAGCCAUUGGGUAAAACGGUUGAAUAAAGCAUCGUUGUACUUGUGAGAUACUGAGAUGUGGCCUUGUGUUACUGGAAGAUACAGGACAAACUUGUCCAUGGACAUGGAUUUAUUGUUGGUUAGCGCCAAUCUGGAGGACAUGCCUACCUUAAAUCACUCAAAUGUAUCCGUAUGUAGCUCUAGAAAGGGUAAUGUAUAUUGAGCCGACUUUUCAA